ACAUUUAGUGUCUGCACCGUUUAAGUUGCGCUGUUCUGUGGUGGCGCCGUUCAUCACUAUGUAGCUGUCAGGUUUUGGCAGAGAUCGGACCCACAUGCACAGCGACGAGGCGACAGACAGAUGGUAAAGUUCAAGGUUUUAAUGCAGUUUUCGUAGUCACAGACAGUCUAGGUCAUGCACGGAUAAACAAACGGAUUGAAGUACAGGAGGGACAGGCGUGAUCGGUUCCAAUAGCGGUCGUGGGUCAAAAACAGAGGGCUCAGAUUUCCAGGUUUAAAUCAGCAGGCUAAGGCAGUUCCAGUAACAGGCAGAGUUCAGCAACAGAGACAACGGGUUUACAGUACCGGUCAGGAUCAGACGAGAAGCGGUAGUCAGGAACACGGAAACAGGUCGGCAACGGGGUAAGCUGAACGAGAGAAUGCUGGAAAGUGAAGUCAUGGAUUCAACGAUCUGGCAACAGGUUAUGGGACCUGGUGGUGGUUAAGUACACAGGCUGACGCAUCCCAGCUACUGAAACGCAAGGAGGUUGUUUCUCAAACUGACGCCACUGCAGGCUGUGGACACACAUCUGCCUUGUAGAAGAGUUGCUGCUCACCUCAGGAGCAAAGAUUAUGUGGAAAAGCUGAUGGAGACCAUCUUCAAUAAAGUCCUGCUGGACCCAGGUCGUUAUAUAGAGGGCCUUGUGAAUAUCCCUGUCCCACCGGCCCUCUGAGCACAAUUUGAGCAGCCUGACAGAAAGAAGAUCAUUAAUGCCAGGAUUUAACAAACCAGCACUAUAAAAGCUAAGUUAAAAACGUGUAUGCUCCAAACACCAUUACAACUGAUCUAACUACCUCUAUAUAUUGUUUACAUUUACAUUUACAUAGGAAAUACUGGACAUUUCAUUAAUCUGCUAUUCUAUGCUUUAUACCUUCUAGAGUGGUGUCAAGGAAAACUGCUGCAUCCUCCAUCUGUACAGCUGCUGCACUGCUUCCGACGUCUUCCAAAAAGUGAUAAAGACAACAAAGAUCCACACACCUCUCCAGCCAACUGCCCAUGACUGUACCUGUUCCACUCCAGAAACUAUGCUUUCAACAUACUGAAACACUGCCCUGAUCCACAAGACCAGGGAAGGUGGGAUGACUUGGACUCUUCGCCCUAGAAGUCCCCAGCACCAGCUGACAAGACCUCUAGGCUAGAUACCUGCAACAACUUGAGAUACACACAGACAUAGUAAUGUCAAAUUUAUGAAGAAAAAAAAAAUAACUACAUUUCUAUUAGUUAUAUAUUUCCACUUGAUAUAUCAUACACCUUACUAACAGCAAUUAAAAUAUAUUAGGUCAAAAUGUAUUUAGAAACAAAACUAUGUAAACCAGAGAUCCCAGGUACAUUAUGAUUAAUCUGUAAAUAGGAAAAUGUUCUAAAAUUGUUUAUGAAUUUCUGAGAUAUUGAUUUAUUCCAUGCAUGUGUAAUUGUCUGAUAUUCUGUAUAUUAAAUGUGUUCUGUAAUGAAUACACAUUCAAACAUA